rnacentral:rRNA from 1 species
AUUGAACGCUGGCGGCAUGCCUUACACAUGCAAGUCGAACGGCAGCACGGGGGCAACCCUGGUGGCGAGUGGCGAACGGGUGAGUAAUGCAUCGGAACGUGCCCAGUAGUGGGGGAUAACCAGUCGAAAGACUGGCUAAUACCGCAUACGACCUACGGGUGAAAGCGGGGGACCGUAAGGCCUCGCGCUAUUGGAGCGGCCGAUGUCUGAUUAGCUAGUUGGCGGGGUAAGAGCCCACCAAGGCGACGAUCAGUAGCUGGUCUGAGAGGACGACCAGCCACACUGGGACUGAGACACGGCCCAGACGCCUACGGGAGGCAGCAGUGGGGAAUUUUGGACAAUGGGCGCAAGCCUGAUCCAGCCAUGCCGCGUGCGGGAAGAAGGCCUUCGGGUUGUAAACCGCUUUUGGCAGGAACGAAACGGCGCAAGCCAAUACCUUGCGCUAAUGACGGUACCUGCAGAAUAAGCACCGGCUAACUACGUGCCAGCCGCCGCAGUAAAAC